AGGACGAACGCUGGCGGCGUGCUUAACACAUGCAAGUCGAACGGAAAGGCCUAGCUUGCUAGGUACUCGAGUGGCGAACGGGUGAGUAACACGUGGGUGAUCUGCCUCGUACUUCGGGAUAAGCCUGGGAAACUGGGUCUAAUACUGGAUAGGACCAUGCUUUAGUGUGUGUGGUGGAAAGUUUUUCGGUACGAGAUGAGCCCGCGGCCUAUCAGCUUGUUGGUGGGGUAAUGGCCUACCAAGGCGUCGACGGGUAGCCGGCCUGAGAGGGUGGACGGCCACAUUGGGACUGAGAUACGGCCCAGACUCCUACGGGAGGCAGCAGUGGGGAAUAUUGCACAAUGGGCGCAAGCCUGAUGCAGCGACGCCGCGUGGGGGAUGACGGCCUUCGGGUUGUAAACCUCUUUCGCUAGGGACGAAGCUUUUGUGACGGUACCUAGAUAAGAAGCACCGGCUAACUACGUGCCAGCAGCCGCGGUAAUACGUAGGGUGCGAGCGUUGUCCGGAAUUACUGGGCGUAAAGAGCUCGUAGGUGGUUUGUCGCGUCGUCUGUGAAAUUCCGGGGCUUAACUUCGGGCGUGCAGGCGAUACGGGCAUAACUUGAGUGCUGUAGGGGAGACUGGAAUUCCUGGUGUAGCGGUGGAAUGCGCAGAUAUCAGGAGGAACACCGAUGGCGAAGGCAGGUCUCUGGGCAGUAACUGACGCUGAGGAGCGAAAGCAUGGGGAGCGAACAGGAUUAGAUACCCUGGUAGUCCAUGCCGUAAACGGUGGGCGCUAGGUGUGAGGGUCUUCCACGACUUUCGUGCCGUAGCUAACGCAUUAAGCGCCCCGCCUGGGGAGUACGGCCGCAAGGCUAAAACUCAAAGGAAUUGACGGGGGCCCGCACAAGCGGCGGAGCAUGUGGAUUAAUUCGAUGCAACGCGAAGAACCUUACCUGGGCUUGACAUAUGCAGGAUCGGCGUAGUGAUACGUUUUCCCUUGUGGUCUGUAUACAGGUGGUGCAUGGUUGUCGUCAGCUCGUGUCGUGAGAUGUUGGGUUAAGUCCCGCAACGAGCGCAACCCUUGUCUUAUGUUGCCAGCACGUGAUGGUGGGGACUCAUGAGAGACUGCCGGGGUUAACUCGGAGGAAGGUGGGGAUGACGUCAAAUCAUCAUGCCCCUUAUGUCCAGGGCUUCACACAUGCUACAAUGGUCGGUACAACGCGCUGCGAGCCUGUGAGGGUGAGCGAAUCGCUGAAAGCCGGCCUCAGUUCGGAUUGGGGUCUGCAACUCGACCCCAUGAAGUCGGAGUCGCUAGUAAUCGCAGAUCAGCAACGCUGCGGUGAAUACGUUCCCGGGCCUUGUACACACCGCCCGUCACGUCAUGAAAGUUGGUAACACC
rnacentral:rRNA from 1 species